ensembl:lncRNA
GUUGGUUUGAAGCUGUUGUUGGUGCUUUAGGACCCAGUAAGCAGAGACACGGCGCUAUCAAACACAGCCUGUCCGGGCAAAUCAGGCUGGAAAGCACAGAUAUCGAUACAGACGGCGCUUCUCAGAGAUAUAAAGACACGGAGUGGGAAUGAGAGCGGAGGGAAAUCUGCAGCGGAAGAGUUAAAAAAAAACAACAACAACCCCAAAACAAACAACAACAACAACAACAAAACAAACCGACGGUGCUGUGUUUAGUAUUCCACCGGCUGGGUGGCUCGCGCUCUUUCAAAGGUCUGAUCUCUUCUUGAUGGAAAAGAUCCAUGCUCCACUUUUCCGGUUAAAGAUGCACAUUGGAAAGGAAUAGACGUCUAUGUGCGUGUAUAAAGUAGCUGUUUGGGUUUCUGAUUAAAUGCUUCAUCUGCUGGAGAGGAAGAGAAAAAAAAUGGUCCAAAGCGUGCGCGUGAGAGAAACACUGUUUCAAAACUGAGUGGAGAAAGUGUCAGCCGGAAGCGUCUAUAGAGCAGAUGCAUGAAUGUAAAUAUACACAAGACACCUUUCUAGAUAAAUCCACAAGGUACAGAUUAAUACUCUUGUGUCGUUGUUGUAGUAAUAGUAGUAGUGGUGGUGGCGUGAGGACGGAAACCGCUAAACCGUGCUCGCAAUAAAAAAAAAAGGGGGACAGUAAUCCGAAACCAACACUUCCAAACUCAGCAGUUCCACAAUUCUUCAUUCAAGAUGCAAGAGAGCGCACGUCCGUGCGCACGGCACUUCUUUUAAAACAAACCAGAACGCCUUGCGCGCAGGCACCCGCCAAGCACGGAUGCGACUCGAAGCGUCGUGAUGACCUUGCGAACGAGCGUACGUGGUGUUGAAGCAUGGAGAUUUAAACUGGGCAGGACGGGGAUACCGGGAGCGCACGGACGGUCUCGCGAACACAUGGAGAACAUCGAGUGUGUGGGGUUUUAUCUGAAGUCAUCGGUCAUCUCGGUUGACGCACAGAGCCGGGUUUUGCUCACUUCUGGCUUCAGUUGAACGUUAACUCUCUGAUAGAGUGACACACAGAGAGAGAGAGAGAGAGAGAAAUAAGAAAGAACCAAGGAAGUGUUUGUGUCAUUGUUGUAAAAAAAACAAAACAAAGCCGUGUCAUGUGAUUGAGCGUAACCAUGCCGAUGUGUACGUUUAAGCGUUAAUCCGACUAAUAAGAGUUUUGAAGCUCUGAGAAAAGAGACUCAUUUGUUUCCAUUUUCCGUUCUGUGUGUGUGUGUGUGUGUUUGUGUGUGUGGUCGCCGGAUUGAGACUCCUCAGCCCUGGAUGACUGUUUCUGUGGUCUGACAUUAUUGACUUCCUCAGUCGAUAACCUUGGCAACUGCAGCCCAACGCGCUCGGAUAGCGAGCAACUUCUCUAUUCCAGAAAUAAUGAAUUCGAUUCCGGGCUAGAACGCCGUCUGAGCUUGAACUCGAGGAUCAUUCUCGAGUUAUGGAUGCACUUCUGCGCAGGCGAGACUGAUUACAGUAGAGAUGCUGUCUGAAGACCGUAUACCGGGUCGAGCGAGACGCUUUCCCCCAGAUCCACGGAGAGAAAAUCCUCCACACGGUCCAAUCCGGGCACGUGAGCACUGCGCUUUCCUGUUUCUCUCCGUGAUAUAACGCGAAACGCGUACUCGCGACGACCACCACGUCGGUCUCGCUCUCGUCGCCCGGGGUACAAGUCGCACGUGACGUUUAAACGCUAGUCUCGUCGUCAUCUCUUCACUCCGCCGAACAGCAGUGUGGAAAUCUCCACCGAUCAUGUUUACAUGCACAUCAAUACUCCGAUAUUAAUUCGACUCUGGGAGUGUCCCGAUUAGUACCGCGUCAUAUAAACGCCGCAAUCCGAUUAUCCGUAUCAUAUCGAGGCGAUAUUCUGAUUCCCGCCCCUGGAACACGCCCGUUUUAAUCGGGAACGUGUUGCAUGUAAACACCUUACGCAGAAAACCCACUGAAAGGAGAAAUAUGCGCACGUUCAGUCCACAAGGAAUUGUGGGUGCUGACGGAUACGUAGCUGUAGGCAACUCGGGCGGACUUACAGCCACCACGCAUACGGGAAUAUAAACGCGAUGCAAUCUUGCAGAGGUUUUUAAUUUUCUGCGGGAAACGACUCUUUCGCAGCGACGUUUGUCGGUAAACGAAACCUUUUAGCUGUAUCCGUGUCCGACGCGGGAUGCGUCCCAACGCGCGUCGUGACCGUGUCGCACGGAUCUGCGGAAAAUGCGCAGCGAUUGGUGAAAAAUCGCACGCUCCUGCGAAUGCUGUGGAGUUUCUUUUGAUUUCGCGGUCGCCAAGUCGCAAAAUUCUGGAGGGACCGACCAAGGUGGUGUUAGAAAGGAACGUAAAAAAGAAAGAAAGAUAAUUUCCCGCUUCGUUUUCUUGAAUCAUAUUUAUGUUUUGUCAAUGUAGCGAUCUCAAAGUACAUCAUUAGCAGACUUUCCAGCUUUUUCC